rnacentral:lncRNA from 1 species
ACUAUACGGAACAACUCUGUUCAGGAUUCAGGCUGUAUAUGAGUUAGUGAGGACUGAAGAGAGGAGAGUUAAACAAACAAGCAAACAAACAAACACACAGGGCAAGAAAACAGGACCCAACAGCAGACACUGACACCCUCCCGACCUGCAGUGCAGAGUGAUUCCAAGAACCGUGCGAGACAUUCCGUGUCUCAGGAAAGAUGGUACCCACACUAAGCUCAGCCAAGAACGGCUUCCACGACGGCUUAAUUUUCCGAACCUGUUCUUGUGGUGCUUAUGGGGGAGGGUGGCCGGGAAGAGAGGAGAGACCACUGAACAAGUUGCUGUUUGUUUAUUGGUUGAUUGCUGUUUGCUGUUUGUUUAUUGAUUGAUUUUUUUCUUUAUUGGCCCCUGGCAGAGGAUGAGCUAAGAAUCCUUUUGCGUACCUUGACCUGACCUCACUUAUCCUUCCACACUUCCACACCCUUUUCCUUCCUGCGAGGGGUCUUGAGCGGGUCUAAAUCAAGCAGUGCUUAGAGCCUCCCACAACGGGCCUUCAACCAUAUUUGGAAGAAAAGAAGGAAUCCAGAGAGGAAAUGGUUACCUGUGCUUACAGGCGGCCUGCACCACAAGCGCUGACUCAGCAAGAGGGAACUCUGCGUACCCCUGUCCCGAAAGCUCCUUGAGCAAGGACGUCAGAAAGAGACUAAAAUGGAGGGAUAGUCUCCAAGGGCCCUGGAGCAGGGUAGGAACCUACAUGAGAUAGUCAUUCGCUACCUGCAUUUGAAAGCAUAUACAUUAUUAUGGUUGUCACCAUUUAUAGUAGUAUACUUUGAAGUUGUCCAUCAAAUCUGGACGCAUACUCAAUUUGAAACUAAAUAAAACCUAAAGGAACAUAGGUGACCAUGAGGGACUCCAGGGAACAUUCUCUGGGACGGAACUCUGUGAAGAGUGAAGAAGAGGCCUCUAGGGUCAAGCUAUUCAUCAUGGAUACAGCCUCAGAUCCAGGACCUCCACCCUCUGGUGCAGUAUUUCCACGAUAUUAGUGGGGGACUGUGGACCAUUCAAGCCUUGGAACAAGUCUAGCCCAACGACUAUCUAACUUUGCUGCUGACGGAAGCCUGACCCAGCCCUGACCUCGUAGACCUUAUAGGAAUAUGUUCUUAGCUCACUGCUCCACAUUUCUGGCCCUGUGACCUCACCAAACAAACACCUGCCUAUCUCAGAGCAUUGUAUCUAUUGGUGUUGAUUUCUGUCUCUUUCAUACUAGUCUCUUGCACAAACCUUGAACUGAAUGAAAUCAAGAAUGGGGUCUUUUGGGUUCUGUGGGUGACAUCAGGACUUGACUGUGGACUUGACUUGCAUCUGGCACAGCCUGCUGGCCAGCUCCUAUUCCCUUGCCCACCUGUUCUUUGACCUUGAACACCCAACCCCUUUUUCUUGGCUUCAGUAUCGUCCUCUCUCUAAGAGCAGAGAUUAGGAUUAAUAAAUCUAUGACGUGCUUGUCACAGGGACUAAUG